UCCGUUCAGGUCUGUGGUUGCGGGUGGCGCGCUUUGGCAGGUCUCCCUAGUCCAUGGCAGACGAGGUCAAAAGGAUCCACGUAAGCCGGGCGUGAGCGUGCCGGCGAGCAUGGCUCGUCCUAGAAGCAAGUCGUACCGUCCGCGGCUGGGGGCAUCUGGCCCCACGGGCGAGAGGGCCGAUAGUGGGGGGCCGUAGCCCCGAAGCGAAGGCUCCCGUACGCGAGUGUGGGGUCAAAUACCAGGUCAGCUGGAGGGA
rnacentral:ncRNA from 1 species